AACGUAGGAGACAAACGUUAUCCGGAGUUACUGGGCGUAAAGCGCGUGUAGGCGGCUUUGCAAGUCGGGUGUGAAAGCCCUCGGCUCAACCGAGGAAGUGCGCCCGAAACUGCAGAGCUUGAGUACCGGAGAGGAUGGCGGAAUUCCCCAAGUAGAGGUGAAAUUCGUAGAUAUUGGGAAGAACACCGGUGGCGAAGGCGGCUAUCUGGCCCGUAAUUGACGCUGAGGCGCGAAAGCGUGGGGAGCAAACAGGG
rnacentral:rRNA from 1 species